rnacentral:rRNA from 1 species
AGGAUUAACGCUGGCGGCGUGCCUAACACAUGCAAGUCGAACGAGGUGGCAAUACCUAGUGGCAGACGGGUGAGUAACGCGUGGUCAACCUACCGUUGAGUGGGGGAUAACUAGCCGAAAGGUUAGCUAAUACCGCAUACGUCUCCGAGGGGCAUCCCUUGGCGAUAAAAGGAGCAAUCCGCUCGAUGACGGGACCGCGUCCCAUUAGCUAGAUGGUGGGGUAACGGCCUACCAUGGCACCGAUGGGUAGCUGGUUUGAGAGAGCGACCAGCCACACUGGGACUGAGAAACGGCCCAGACUCCUACGGGAGGCAGCAGUGAGGAAUUUUCCGCAAUGGGCGCAAGCCUGACGGAGCGACGCCGCGUGUGGGAAGAAGGCCUUCGGGUCGUAAACCACUGUCGGAGGGGACGAUAAUGACGGUACCCUUGGAGGAAGCCCCGGCUAACUACGUGCCAGCAGCCGC